UGAGUGAAAAUGACCAAAGUUAUGAAUAAAAUGAACAAAAUAAUCAACAUAUUGAACAAAAUCUGUUUUAUGCCAGGUUUCAUUCAACACAUAUCAGAUGUUUCUGUUUGUUCUGCUUCUUGUCAUGGGGUCAGAGGUCACACUUUUAGAUUUAUACCAGUAAUAAAAAAAAAAAAAAAAGGCAAAA